GAGAGAUGGCUGAGCUGGUCGAAGGCGCACGAUUGGAAAUCGUGUAGGCGUUAAAAGCGUCUCGAGGGUUCGAAUCCCUCUCUCUCC
rnacentral:tRNA from 1 species